rnacentral:rRNA from 1 species
UACAGAGGUCCCAAGCGUUGUUCGGAUUCAUUGGGCGUAAAGGGUGCGUAGGCGGCGCGGUAAGUCGGGUGUGAAAUCUCGGGGCUUAACUCCGAAACUGCACUUGAUACUGCGGUGCUCGAGUACUGGAGAGGAGAUUGGAAUUUACGGUGUAGCAGUGAAAUGCGUAGAUAUCGUAAGGAAGACCAGUGGCGAAGGCGGGUCUCUGGACAGUUCCUGACGCUGAGGCACGAAGGCCAGGGGAGCAAACGGG